AAGUCGUAACAAGGUUUCCGUAGGUGAACCUGCGGAAGGAUCAUUAACGAAUAAACCUGGUGGAUUGUCGCUGGCUCUCUAGGGAGCAUGUGCACGUCUGUCAUCUUUAUCUUUCCACCUGUGCACAUUUUGUAGACCUGGAGAAACAUUUCUGAGGCAACUCAGUCGUGAGGAGUUGUAGGCGUAAAGUCAGCUCUCCUUGAGUAUCCAGGUUUAUGUAUUUCAUAUACACCAAUGAAAUGCAAUAGAACGUAUCAAUGGGUCUUUGUACCUAUAAUAAACUAUACAA
rnacentral:misc_RNA from 1 species